GGACGUGAAAUCUCCUGGCUCAACUAGGAGAGGUCGUUCAAAACUGCCUGGCUAGAGGGCGACAGAGGGAGGUGGAAUUCCCGGUGUAGUGGUGAAAUGCGUAGAUAUCGGGAGGAACACCAGUGGCGAAGGCGGCCUCCUGGGUCGCACCUGACGCUCAGACGCGAAAGCUAGGGGAGCGAACGGGAUUAGAUACCCCGGUAGUCCUAGCUGUAAACGAUGUGGACUUGGCGUUGGUGGGGUUAAAUCCAUCAGUGCCGUAGCUAACGCGAUAAGUCCACCGCCUGGGGACUACGGUCGCAAGAUUAAAACUCAAAGGAAUUGGCGGGGGCCCGCACAAGCAGCGGAGCGUGUGGUUUAAUUCGAUGCUACACGAAGAACCUUACCCGGGUUUGACAUCCAGGUGGUAGGGAACCGAAAGGCGACCGACCCUUCGGGGAGCCUGGACAGGUGCUGCAUGGCUGUCGUCAGCUCGUGUCGUGAGAUGUCCGGUUAAGUCCGGUAACGAGCGCAACCCUUGCUGUAUGUUAUACGUGUCAUACAGGACUGCCGGUUAGAACCGGAGGAAGGCGGGGAUGACGUCAAGUCAGCAUGGCCUUUAUAUCCGGGGCUACACACACGCUACAAUGGUCAGCACAACAGGUUGCAAAACCGCGAGGUGGAGCCAAUCCCCAAAGCUGGCCUCAGUUCAGAUUGCAGGCUGCAACCCGCCUGCAUGAAGUUGGAGUUGCUGGUAACCGCGCGUCAGCUAUAGUGCGGUGAAUACGUUCUCGGGCC
rnacentral:rRNA from 1 species